rnacentral:rRNA from 1 species
GAUGAACGCUGGCGGCGUGCUUAACGCAUGCAAGUCGAACGAAGCAUUUAGGACAGAUUACUUCGGUUUGAAGUUCUUUAUGACUGAGUGGCGGACGGGUGAGUAACGCGUGGGUAACCUGCCUUGUACUGGGGGAUAGCAGCUGGAGACGGCUGGUAAUACCGCAUAAGCGCACAAUGUUGCAUGACAUGGUGUGAAAAACUCCGGUGGUAUAAGAUGGACCCGCGUCUGAUUAGCUAGUUGGUGAGAUAACAGCCCACCAAGGCGACGAUCAGUAGCCGACCUGAGAGGGUGACCGGCCACAUUGGGACUGAGACACGGCCCAGACUCCUACGGGAGUCAGCAGUGGGGAAUAUUGCACAAUGGAGGAAACUCUGAUGCAGCGACGCCGCGUGAGUGAAGAAGUAAUUCGUUAUGUAAAGCUCUAUCAGCAGGGAAGAUAGUGACGGUACCUGACUAAGAAGCUCCGGCUAAAUACGUG